rnacentral:rRNA from 1 species
CUAACGCGGUCAUAGUGGCGGACGGGUGAGUAACACGUGGGAACGUACCUUUAGGUUCGGAACAACACAGGGAAACUUGUGCUAAUACCGAAUGUGCCCUUCGGGGGAAAGAUUUAUCGCCUUUAGAGCGGCCCGCGUUAGAUUAGCUAGUUGGUGAGGUAAAGGCUCACCAAGGCUACGAUCUAUAGCUGGUCUGAGAGGAUGAUCAGCCACAUUGGGACUGAGACACGGCCCAAACUCCUACGGGAGGCAGCAGUGGGGAAUCUUGCGCAAUGGUCGAAAGACUGACGCAGCCAUGCCGCGUGAAUGAUGAAGGUCUUAGGAUUGUAAAAUUCUUUCAGCAGGGACGAUAAUGACGGUACCUGCAGAAGAAGCCCCGGCUAACUUCGUGCCAGCAGCCGCGGUAAUACGAAGGGGGCUAGCGUUGCUCGGAAUUACUGGGCGUAAAGGGAGCGUAGGCGGGUUAUCAAGUUGGAGGUGAAAGCCCAGGGCUCAACCUUGGAAUUGCCUUCAAAACUGAUAGCCUAGAGUAUGAUAGAGGUAAGUGGAACUCCGAGUGUAGAGGUGAAAUUCGUAGAUAUUCGGAAGAACACCAGUGGCGAAGGCGACUUACUGGAUCAUGACUGACGCUGAGGCUCGAAAGCGUGGGGAGCAAACAGGAUUAGAUACCCUGGUAGUCCACGCUGUAAACGAUGAUUGCUAGUUGUCAGACGGCAUGCCGGUCGGUGACGCAGCUAACGCAUUAAGCAAUCCGCCUGG